UUCGAUUUUGCUGUUGAUGUACAUAGUUUGUGAAGAGAAGAUUUUGUAAUUCAUUUUGCCGAUGGAAUGAAUUACUAAAAGUUCAAAUUUGCUAAUUUCUGCAGUUCUGGUUCUCUAGAUUGGUCUUGGUACAUGAUACAUCUUAAGCUUGGUCUUGGUACAGGAUACAUCUUAAGCUGGAGUUCGUCGCUAAGCAGGUUUGAUUAUGUAAAGUUCAAGUUUUUUGUGUGUGAUGCAGUAUAGCUCAACUACAUUUUGUUACCUCUUUACUUUUAAAUUGCUGACUGGAUGUUGAACUAAUUCUCUGCCUUCUCCAUCACUUACGUGGUUUCCUAUUUGCUUGAGCUAUUGUACUCAUGUAUAUUUCAAAAAUACUAAGAAAUGUGGCUAUCAAUUAUCUUAUAUACAAAAUUUUGGGGACUUGAUCUAUUGUACUCAUGUAUAUGUCUAAAUAGGACCAAAUUUUGCAUGUUUUCUGCUUGUAUGUAUGUGGUUGAACUAUUUAGCUAUUGAGCAAAGUUUAAACUUUCUAUGUGUGAAGGUUCAAUCAAAUUCAUUUUCGUAGCUAUGAGGUUGAGCCAAUUUUCUCGUCUACUGAAACCGAUCAUUUGAUAGGGAACUCAAAAGAAAUAGCAUAUAUGAGCAUACGUGAAGUUCAAAAGUUCUGGUUCAGGGAAGUAGACAUCCUGUAAUUUUUGGGAAUUAGUAGUUCACCUUUGCUAAGUGUAGCAAGUUCUCUGGUUGCAAAAAUUAAUUCACUUUGCAAAAAAUCUGGAGGUCAACAAUUUCUUUUGUUUGUUGUAGAUGGAGAUGUGUGUAUGUAUACAUGUGUUCUGGAGAUAGGAGAACUUAUCUGGUGGUGUGUGCGUGCUGCUGCAUCCUCUUCCAGCUGCUCUAAUUCACACCUUCAGUGCAAUUUCUAUAUUCCCUUGUGUUCACGAAUCUUGUAGUACUUUUUUCCAUAAAAAUCUUGUAGUAAUAUGUAAAGCAAGCGUGGCCAACACAUAGUUUAGGUGUCGCGGUAGUACUCACUGUUGAUGGUGGCCUUCUUUUGUGCCGCUACUACUUUGCCACCUAGAGUGGUACUGCUACUACUUAUCAUGUUGAUAAAACCUCGCGAAUAGUACAUCUAUUUGAUCAACGAUUCUGUAGGGAGAAAAAGUUCACCAAUGUACAAUCUCUAAUCUCAAUAUACCAAAAUUUUUUGUUUAGGAGUUGGUACUGCUCAAGUUUAUUUCUUGAUGUACACAUGAUGUCCAAAUUCUUCUUUCAAUUCGGUUCAAUUUAUAAAUUUCAUUCAGUUCAACGAGGUGGAGAUUGGGGCACGGUGGAGUGUGACCGUGUGUGUGCAGACGGCCCACCGCAACUCACCGGCCGGAUCCCGCUCUUCAGUGUAUGUUUUGUGUGCUUUUCAGUUCACCUACUUAACAAUUGCAAGUCCAAUUUCCUCCUUGUUUCCAUGUUAUUCCUCUAGCAAAACAGGUGUUAUGCCUCUAUGUAUCAAAAGAAACCUAUGUUCUUUUCUAUUCUUGCAAAUGAAGCCGCACUUCUGUUCUGUUUGAACUUACUUGGCAUAAAAAUAGUAUUUGUUCUACUGUAAAAAACAUAAAAUGAAAUGUCUUGGUGCAUGAUCGAAGGUGCAUCUGGAAGCAUCCCCAUGUCAAUUGCAAAGGUUUCCAGGAUGUGGCGUCCGUACUAGUAGUCCAACCCGGCCACCCCAGGCCGUUCACCGUCGCAGCUCCUAGGCCGAUUGUGUCGAGCCUUGUGCCACAUCCUGUGGAGCUCCAUCAUUGUAUUGCCCAUACCUUUCUUAGCCGCCACACCGGGUCGUUCAGCGACACAACCUAAAGCAAUUCGACACCGUGGCUUGGGAGGCACACACUUCGCCCGUUCAUCCCAGGAGAGCAGUACAUCACCUUGUGCGAGCAGACCGUUGCCGAUGUACACUGAUUCUCUAAGCUCCCUUGCCACUGCUCCAGUAUGUCCAGCGCCGUCCCUAGUCCAGCCCCGUGGCAUCCGGACGGUCAAGUUCAUGCCGAGCAGCAGUCCACGUCCGUCAGCUCCUAUUUCCACUAUAGUGAUUGGUUGCCGUUUUCCUCACCCUCCCCAAUGCACGACAACCCAACUCACAUGUUGCUGCCGUCCGCCACCCCAAAAUAGUUUUGGCUCUUCCUCAAGCAGCCAUUUAACCUUUUUGGUGUUUUUUCUGUUGGUGAUUGAUUUUAGCAAUUUGUAGCUAUCUUGCAUAUGGAACCUGAAAGUCUUAGACUGUUGUAGAUUCAGUUCUUGUAGCACAAAUGUCCCAGAGUUCAGUGACAUCUCUAAUUGAUGUAUUGUGGUCUUGCAUCUCCAAUGUAUGUUGCUCAGCUUCCUCCCGAUCCGCUUGAUCUCGCCCUUCUCCGAAGCAUGCUUCAGUUCAACAAAAAGCUCUAGAAAAGUUCAGAGUUCUGCGUACUUUGCAUUUAUAGUUGGCUCUUUUUUAUUCGUCUGUUUGGGUUAAGGUAGGGAGAGGGAGCAGAAGGUCAUCAUGAAAAAAUGUCUCUCCUAGAUCCGGGCUGGCAACCUGCGCCUCUACUAAUUAGGAUGAUGUGCACCUUUCCAUGGUCUAAUGUAUUCCUUCUUGUUAGUUCUCCAAUUAAGUUUGCCCAAACUUCAGGAUAAGCAGUUUGCUCAUUUAUUUUUCUUUUGUGUUUUGCAUUCAUUCUAUAACAGAGGGUGAUUGGAUAUUUUUGUGUCAGCCUGGAGGGAUUCUAAAACAUAUAUGUUCUGGUUAUGAUUUGAUGCCCUCUACAUCUUUUAUGUUAUUUACAUGGGUAUUAAAACUAUUUGCGUUCAGGUACAACAAGAAGUUCAUGUAUUGAUGCCCCUGGAGUCCAUGUAGCUCUGCUGCCGUGCUACCCUUAUUGGCCUCGGCUAUGUAUGUCAGUCCAAUACCGUCGCCCCAGGCCGUUCACUGUCGUAGCGACCAGGCCGUUCAUAGAAAAAUGUUGAUUAUAUUGAUACCUAAAACUAGUCUUUGCUCACUUUUGAAUUGAAAAGGAAAAAGGAGUCUCUCUAAUAAUAAGUUUAUUCAAAAAUAGAAACAAAAAUAAACAAAAAACAUGAAACACAAAAACCCCAUGAAAUUUGCAGGGAAAACAUAAUAAGUUCUAAGAAAAUAAAUAUAGAAGUUCAUAUUUUGAAACGAAUGAAGUAUUUGGGAACUAAAUGAAGUAUUUCAAAGUACAGAACUUUUGUUUAGCUUUGUUUGUGUACUUCUAAUGUUACUAUGCAUGAACUUGUCGUUAUUUUUACAUGUUUUACAUGAUUACGGUCAUUUCGACCUUGACAAAUUUCAUUUCACCUUAUAUGGUUUUUUCCAUCCAUCUUACAGGUCGAAGGAGCUCCCUUAUGUUUAGUGGAUUCAACAAAAAAAUUCCCUGCUGCCACUGCAUCCUGAGUUCAAGGGAUUCCUUAGGCGCCUUCUACACCAUCUUGCUAAUGAUGCCAUCGUUGGAUGCCACAGCCAUGCUCGUCGUUCUUGUACUACCAUUCACAUACUGCUCCCUGUUUUACUCCAUGGAGAUCCAUAGAAAUAAGUUAUAUUCAGUUUGCCACUUUUACAAUUGAUGGUCCUAUGUUGACCGAAACAAUAGUUCAAGCUCCUAAAAAAGCAAUCAUGUGUAUGCUACAUCACUUUGAGGAACUACAGCAAACAAAAUAAGGAGAGCUUGGUACUACUUGAUUUUUUUAUAGUACUACUUGAAGCCUUUCUGUUGUAUACAUUGUCUCCUAUUUAUUAUAACCUCGUCAGAUUGUUGGAUGCAUGUGGUCCUU
rnacentral:lncRNA from 1 species